AGGGAAUUUAUUUGCUGGCUUACUUGAUACACUGGGUAACCCAGCAAUGGCUGUCUGGACAACAGAGAAGCUGAGAACUUAGCUGUCAGCCUAUGAGAUGAAUGCCUCAGCAGUCCCAAUCUGCUGAGAAGACCUGGAAAACUCCCGGAGAUCCGCUGGUCUCCCACCCACACUGGAAGGCUGAAGAAUACGGGUUACUCUGUAAGUAAAGGAGCAACAGCAGCAGCAGUAGCAGCAGCAACAGAGUGAUGCACUUACCAGGGUAUGAAGGCUAGCAGGUGAAAAGCAAGAGCUUUUCCCUUGCAUCUCUUUACAUCUAGGUUGGGGCCAGAAGGUGCCAUGCAUUUUGGGGUAGAGUCAUUUAGCUUUUCUAGGAACUACCCUUACAGAUCUGCCCAGAGACCUGCCUCUUUGCUGAUUCUAGAUCCAAUCAAGUUGACUACCAAGUUACUCACCCUACCUGUUCAUUGGGAAAUGUUACUGGUUCCAAAUUGUUGCUCUAUCAGAGCAGGUUUAUCAGAUCAGUUCUACUGCACUCAUUUCUGGAAGUCAUCCUGUUGGGGGAUGUUCUUCUGUAUAUAUGUUUCUCAUAUUGGUUGGUGAAUAAAACACUGAUUGGCCAAUAGAGACAGGAAGAUAGGUGGGGCUAGGAGACAAGGAGAAUGCUGGGGAGAGACAGGUGGAGGAGACACCAUGUAGAUACUGGGAAGAUAGGAUAUGCCAGGUGUUCUCUGAUGCAUUAAAGCUUUACUGCAGAAGGAUCCGAGUGUCCUGUGUCCUUCUUGCUGGCGAGACGAUCUCUCGGGACAUCUGGUGCUGAAACCCGGGAACUUGUUGACAUCGCCGGCGCUGCGGGAGACCCCUCGGAGGACGGGGCGGAUUCAGAACUGCAGGGAGGACGAAGAGAAUCCCCUGUGGAUCCCAGAAAGACUCACCCGAAGAGCCCCUUCGGACCCUCAAAAGCCGGAACUCCACCUUCUCCCCUCAAAUUAGUCGGGAGUUCAAUGAGACCUUCCCAGGCUCUUCCUGGAUUUCAUCAGCAGUUUCUUAUUUUAAGGAAUGGGUGGGGGUGGGACUUUUUUGGCACAAUUCUCUGCAGUGGUGUGGUGUUUAUGCUUUGGACUGUGUGUAGACUCAAAACCCAAACAAAAAAGAUAAGGCAGUGUUUGCACAGGCACUCGCUGCCCUAGAGAAUGGAAUCUCCCCCGGCAUUUGGCUAAGCAUGUUGAAGCAAUAGGUCGCCGACUGCUCAGCUCCUGCACCUCCGGAGGCUUGACCUCAUUGCACGGAAUAGAGUGAGCAGGGUUUGGCAGGCCAAAAGAGUUGCAAGGCUAAGCACUUCACAGAAAGGGCCUGCAGCUUUUCUUGUGGCUCUUCUGGGAGAUAUGUCAUCUUGCAUGAAGGUUAUAUAUCAUAAUGCCCUUCCCCCAGAAAAAGACAUAAGGACGGGUCUGGGCCUGCUCUGGACACAAAGUCUGGAGUCCUGCUCAAGACAAGGUCUGCAUCCAGUUUUUGGGAGUUGACCUCUAUCUCCACUCUGCAUUUGGCUGGCCUAUAGCCUCUGUGUUUCUAUAUAAUUAUAUAGGGGGAGAUGUGAGGAGCCGCACUCACAUUCGCCAUUACAAGAUGGCACUGACAUCCGCUGCCGGAUCAAGUAAACAACAUUGGUGCACAUGUGCCCAGUGUUUUUCCACUUGCCUCGUCUUGCCUCUCCCGUGGCGUCAUAUAGGGUGAUGAGUCAUCCACCUAUCCCAGCUGUACACGCACUGCUCGGAGCUUAUGAGCCUUUAUAAGGGGACGAGAUUCUUGGCUCGGGGUCUCCCUAAUCGGAAGCUGAUCAUCUGUCUCUCAAGAUGCAUUAAAGCUUUUCUCUCAAGAUGCA
rnacentral:lncRNA from 1 species